AAAAUCUCUCAUUCUUUAUUCAUUCAUUCACAUAUUUCUUGUCCUUUCUACAACUCCCCUUAAACUUUUAUACCCAUCAACCCGAUUUUGCAUCCCUUUUCCGAGACAGCUAAAUCGCUGAGCCCGUUUCAAGAUUCAGAUAAAAACCAGAGACGAUGGAUUCUAUGAGACUAAGUGUUUUACCAAUUCUUGGUUUUAUGCUUGUUGUGAUUCUGCAAGUUAGCAAAGCCCAAACCUUUGCUCCUUCUCCAACUCCAGUUCCUUCCAAUGAUGGAGCAGCUAUUGAUCAAGGGAUUGCUUAUCUUCUUCUAGUUCUAGCAUUGGCCAUCACAUAUCUUGUCCACUAAAUUCAUUUUAUUUCAUUAUAUAUUAUUUACUAUUCUUUAUAUGUAUUGGAGUUAUGUUUUUCUUUUCUUUUUUUUGUAAAUCCAUGGAUACACACUUACAUUUA